rnacentral:lncRNA from 1 species
UGAAGAACACCAAGAACACAAACUUUUGAAUCUUGGAGUCUAAGGUUCAAGUUGGUCUCACACUUCAAUCUACACUUUCUCAAGUUCCACCUUUCAACAAAAACUUCAAAAAAAGGUUCUUAGGCCACCUGUUCACAACAACAACAUAAACAUACAUGCUCAAAUCAAGAGUGGAAUCCAACACGAGUAUGUAUUUUGAGGUCACUCUUGAUUUCCAACUUCAUUGAUGAAAAUUCUUUGUUAAGGUAAGUUCUUCCAUCAAAUUCUUUGACUUUCAAUACUUUAAGGGAUCGUUUGGUUUGGAAACAAGUUAUGCUGGGAUAAUUUGUACUGGGAUUAGUUAUCUUGAGAUUAAUUAUGCUGGUAUUAUUUUUUAGUGGUUAUUUGGUUUGGCGGUGCUAAAAAUAGUAUGCAUUGAAUUCUUUUUAAGAAUAGAUAGUUUUCAUAAACAAAUACCAUUAACCUUAUUUAAAUUAAUUAUUUUCCAUCAUAUUAAACCAUACCAAAGAAAUUGAAAUUAUUUCUUUUUUAAUUUUAGUAGUUUCUUUUUCCGAAAAAUACAUGUUAAAAUUUUUUUGUUGAAAUUUAUUAAAUGUGUAUGAAGUUUUAAUAUUUUUUGUUAAAUUAUUCAUUCUGUCAUAAAUUCUAUAAAAUGUUGAUAAUUUCACUUUUUGUUAAAAACAUUCAUCAUCAAAAAAUGUGAAAAAAAAUUUCUCUCAUUUUCCAUUAUUUAAUAUCAUUAAUAUUUGGAGAGUUAAAUUGUAUUUUAAACAAAAAUAAAUUUACAAACAGUUUUAGCUAUAGAUAAAAAUAAUUUUUUAUUGAAUAUUUAACCAUGUACAAAGAUAGAAAGGGAAUGUCAAAAUACUCUAAUUACUUGUUCAUAACAAAUUUGUUAGGAAAAAUAAAAAUUUGAAGCAAGAUUAAUAAACAUUUCUACAACCCUUGAAUUAAUUUUGAAUUUCAUUGUAUAUAUAGUUUUUAUGGUGUCACUAUUAUUUUUCCAUGACUCAUCACUUUUGCUGCAUUUUAAAACUUAUAUAAUUGUUCAAAUUAACCAAAAAAAAAUAAAAAUUUAUAGAGUAAUUAAAAUUUAAAUUAGGAUAAAAUUGACAAAAAAAAUUUGAUGUGAGGACUAUCAAAAUUUCACAUUUUUCUAAUUUUAUCUCUCUCUCUCUCUCUCUAUAUAUAUAUAUAUAUAUAUAUUAAUAAACCCAUUGUUCAAAAUUACCAGAUGGAUGAAAUUUAUAAAGUAAUUAAUGUAUGUAUGUAUGUAUAUAUGAAAAGUGAUAAUUGGAGGUUGAUUUUUUCAUUUAUGGUUUUAUCCCAAGUUAAAUAAUGUUGGGAUUAUUUAUGCCACCUAAAAGGUGGGAUAACUUAUCCUUGUACUAUUUGUUAGUCCCGGGAUAAGUUAUCCCAAACUUGACAACCAAACAAAGCACCCAAAAAUUUAUCCCAGGACUAUUUUUUUAUUUUGGGACUAUUUUUUGAUACCCCACACCAAAUGAACCCUAACUUAUUAGAAUCAUUAGAACAAUCUCUAGUGGGGAUGUGAAUCUUUAAAUUCAGAGUUUUGAAAAAUUUAUAAAUUCUGUUAGUAUCACCUAGAUUUACUUCUAGAUUGUUAAUUAAUGAUUUCUAUCAUGCAUUAGUGAUUCUUAAACAUGAUAUUUGAUUAUUAGGAACCUUAAAUUCAAUAAAAAUAGAUUCUUUAGAUUUGAAAAAAUAUUAAUAGAGAUAGAUUGAGUAUAAUAAAAUUAGUUAAGGUUUAAUGGAACAUGGGUAGUAAUUUAGGCCAUGAAUAAGGAGAGAGUUAGUGAGUUCAAUUCUAAAUUAGUUAUUAAAAGAGUAAUGACUUAAUUACUCUUAUAUAUUUUUAUUUUCUAGAUGAUUGGGCUAAUGAAGGCAUAAAGAGCACCCUUGAUGUGGUUUUCUUGUCCCAAAAUCUUUGAUUGAGGUAGAUUAUAGUUUAAUGUGUACUAAACAUGGAUUAGUUGCAUAUAAUAACUGUAGUUGAUGGAGAUUUCCAUUCUAAGCCAACAGGCACAAUGUUUGGAUCGAUAAAAUAUGAAAUAAUUUAAUAAUGAAAUAGUUGUGAGUUAUUGUAUUUUCUUGGAUAUCUUGAUGGGUAUUAUUAUUUGUAUAAAUUGCUUGAUGAUUUAUAGCAUUUACGUUGUGAAUAUGAAUAAUAAUAGAAGAAUUAGGCAAGCUUCCAAUCUAUAGAUCUAGUCUUUAAUUCCUUAAAAGUGUGAAUCGAUAUUGUGUAUAUUUGAAGUAUGAUAUAUUUUUGCUAGAAGAUAGUUAAGAGGAUUUAUUUUGAUAAGAAAAGGUCAUGGUAUAACCUAAAAAACUAAAAUAAUAUUUUUCUAAGUGCUAUAAAGUAAGAUGUGUAAAGGCGUAUGACUCUAGCUAGAGAUGUAAAUUGAAUAGAAUCGAAUGGUUGAAUAAUCAACAAAAGUGAAUAUUGUCUUGUACUUUGUCAUACCUUUAGUGAAAGGAUUAUUAGUUAGUAACUGGAUUUAUUUAUUUCUAAAAUGAAUAAAAUAGAGUUAGAUUGAUGAAUAAAAUAGGAUGAUGAAUUAGAGGGUAGAUAUCAAUCCUAGUGGAAUAUGCAUUCCAGAAAUGAAUACUUGAUUGAUUGGUCUUUGGACAUAUUUGUUAUUGAUAAAUUGGAUUGAUAAUGCACAUUUGAGUAAGUGGUGAAUUGAGCUUCAAGCAUACUUAUUAUUUCAUGUGUUAGUGGAUAUUUGUUUCUUAAUAAAAAAAAACUUGUUGAUUGUUGACUACGUUUACUUGGUUGUCAUAAUUAUAAGUUGUAUUUCAAUCAUUGUUACUUACAUCUGAUUUUAAUUAGGUGUUAGCAGUUCUUCUUUAGGCACUACUUAUAAUUAUUGAAUGCAUCUUGUAUUUACGUUGAUCGUGUUGAUGAUGAUAUUGUGAUCAUGAUGUUUUUGAUGUUGAGAUGAUAUUAAUGAUGUUUAGUUGAUGAUAGUUGAUAAUAAUAUUUAGAUCACAAUAAUCAUAAUAUUCAGAACAGUAUUGAUGAUAGUGAUGAGAUGAUAUUGAUAAUGGUAUAGAUAUCAUGAUGUUCAUGAUGUCGAUAAUGAUAUUGAUGAUGCUUUUGAGAUGAGAAAGAGAUAAUAUUCACAUAUUUCAUACAUACAUUCAUCAUAUGCAUUUGAAUGUACAUUCAUAUUUAUUUAUAUAUUUUGGUUCCUUGUGUGGAUCAAUUAUUUGAUGAUAUACUAUGGUUUCUUAAAUGGUCCGGUUAUGUUAAUAAUGAUGAUUGUGCAUUAUAGCAACAUGUGAAUGUAAGGUAUGUUCUGAAUUAUGUGUACAUAUUGUUCUCUUGUGUAUAUAGUUAUAUGUUUGAUGUAUAUUAUAGUGCUACUUCUUGCAAUGUUAUUGAUUCUAUAAAUUGCCUCAAUUAUUGCAAUUGAAAUUGUUACUACUAGUAUAAUACAGAGUAAUGAUUGUUAUGUUAGGAGGAUUAAUGAGAGAGAGAAAAAUAUAGGGUUGUUAUAACAAGGUGAGUGCAUAAGCGAUGUGGGCUACAUUAUUCAUGGAAAUGUGCUAGAGAGGCCCUCCUUGAGGAUAAAUUAAUAUUUCUUAAACAAAAUGAAGAUGGUGGGUUGGGAUGUUGUACUAAGAUAAGUGUGUUCAAUUGUUAGACUUGUAUACUUUAAUAAUUUCUUUUUGUUUUCUAUAUGUUAUUAUACAUUCUAACCUUUGCCAGUAGGUAUAUCUACUACUAUGUGUGGUUUUAUGGAUACUACUCUUACUUUAUCUUUUCAGAAAUAUACAAAUGUUGCAUAUCUAGUGAAUUUUUUAUAGGUACACCGGUGAUUAUUCUUCAGCCACUCACAUUAUUGUAGUCAUAUAUGGAUAUUACAUAUUGGUGUCCUGUUUUUAUUUAUUUAGUAUUCUCGUACUGAUAUACAUUAAUUUCUGAGAGGUUGUUAUUUAUUCCAUAAUGUAAUUAAUAAGUUAUUUAAUUUGAAAAGUAAUUUUAUUUUUAUUUAAGGGAUUAUUUAGUUUUAAAACUAUUGAUGUAUGUAUUUCACACAUAGUUGAAUGAUUGGGUGGUAAGGAUUCUCCUAUCUAGGGAAAAA